rnacentral:rRNA from 1 species
UACGUAGGGGGCAAGCGUUGUCCGGAUUUAUUGGGCGUAAAGAGCGUGUAGGCGGUUAGGUAGGUCCGUUGUGAAAACUCGAGGCUCAACCUCGAGACGCCGAUGGAAACCAUCUGACUAGAGUCCGGAAGAGGAGAGUGGAAUUCCUGGUGUAGCGGUGAAAUGCGCAGAUAUCAGGAAGAACACCCGUGGCUAAGGCGGCUCUCUAGUACGGUACUGACGCUGAGACGCGAAAGCGUGGGGGAGCGAACAGG